rnacentral:rRNA from 1 species
UCAGUAGCCGGACUGAGAGGUUGGCCGGCCACAUUGGACUGAGAUACGGCCAGACUCCUACGGGAGGCAGCAGUGGGGAAUAUUGGGCAAUGGGCGCAAGCCUGACCCAGCAACGCCGCGUGAAGGAAGAAGGCUUUCGGGUUGUAAACUUCUUUUGUCAGGGAACAGUAGAAGAGGGUACCUGACGAAUAAGCUCCGGCUAACUACGUGCCAGCAGCCGCGGUAAUACGUAGGGAGCGAGCGUUGUCCGGAUUUACUGGGUGUAAAGGGCGUGUAGGCGGGAUUACAAGUCAGAUGUGAAAUUCCGGGGCUCAACCCCGGAACUGCAUUUGAAACUGUAGUUCUUGAGUACUGGAGAGGCAGGCGGAAUUCCUAGUGUAGCGGUGAAAUGCGUAGAUAUUAGGAGGAACACCAGUGGCGAAGGCGGCCUGCUGGACAGCAACUGACGCUGAGGCGCGAAAGCGUGGGGAGCAAACAGGAUUAGAUACCCUGGUAGUCCACGCUGUAAACGAUGGAUACUAGGUGUGCGGGGACUGACCCCCUGCGUGCCGCAGUUAACACAAUAAGUAUCCCACCUGGGGAGUACGAUCGCAAGGUUGAAACUCAAAGGAAUUGACGGGGGCCCGCACAAGCGGUGGAUUAUGUGGUUUAAUUCGAAGCAACGCGAAGAACCUUACCAGGGCUUGACAUCCUACUAACGAGGUAAAGAUACGUUAGGUGCCCUUCGGGGAAAG